UCCCGGAUAGCUCAGUUGGUAGAGCAAGCGGCUGUUAACCGCUGGGUCGUAGGUUCGAGUCCUACUCCGGGAG
rnacentral:tRNA from 1 species